rnacentral:rRNA from 1 species
AAUGAACGCUGGCGGCAUGCCUAACACAUGCAAGUCGAACGAAGGCUUCGGCCUUAGUGGCGCACGGGUGCGUAACGCGUGGGAAUCUGCCCCUUGGUUCGGAAUAACAGUUAGAAAUGACUGCUAAUACCGGAUGAUGACGUAAGUCAAAAGAUUUAUCGCCGAGGGAUGAGCCCGCGUAGGAUUAGCUAGUUGGUGUGGUAAGAGCGCACCAAGGCGACGAUCCUUAGCUGGUCUGAGAGGAUGAUCAGCCACACUGGGACUGAGACACGGCCCAGACUCCUACGGGAGGCAGCAGUGGGGAAUAUUGGACAAUGGGCGAAGGCCUGAUCCAGCAAUGCCGCGUGAGUGAUGAAGGCCUUAGGGUUGUAAAGCUCUUUUACCCGGGAUGAUAAUGACAGUACCGGGAGAAUAAGCUCCGGCUAACUCCGUG